rnacentral:misc_RNA from 1 species
GAUGAAGAACGUAGCGAAAUGCGAUAAGUAAUGUGAAUUGCAGAAUUCAGUGAAUCAUCGAAUCUUUGAACGCACAUUGCGCCCGCCAGUAUUCUGGCGGGCAUGCCUGUUCGAGCGUCAUUACAACCCUCAGGCCCCCGGGCCUGGCGUUGGGAAUCGGCAGAAGCCCCCUGUGGGCACACGCCGUCCCUCAAAUACAGUGGCGGUCCCGCCGCAGCUUCCAUUGCGUAGUAGCUAACACCUCGCAACUGGAGAGCGGCGCGGCCAUGCCGUAAAACACCCAACUUCUGAAUGUUGACCUCGAAUCAGGUAGGAAUACCCGCUGAACUUAAGCAUAUCAAUAAGCGGAGGA